rnacentral:rRNA from 1 species
UCAGGCCUAACUCAUGCAAGUCGAACGGUAUACGCGGGGCAACCUGUGACUGAGUGGCGAACGGGUGAGUAAUGCAUCGGAACGUGCCCAGUAGUGGUGGAUAGCCCGGCGAAAGCCGGAUUAAUACCGCAUACGACAUUCGGGUGAAAGGGGGGGAUCGCAAGACCUCUCGCUAUUGGAGUGCGCCGAUGUCAGAUUAGGUUGUUGGUGGGGUAAAGGCCUGCCAAGCCGAUCGAUCUGUAGCUGGUCUGAGAGGGCGUCCAGCCACACUGGGAGUGAGACUCGGCCCAGACUCCUUCGGGAGGCAGCAGUGGGGAAUUUUGGACAAUGGGUUAAAGCGUCAUCCAAAGGUGCCGCGUGCGGGAAGAAGCCCUUCGGGUGUAUUUAAAGGGUGUCAGGGAAGAAAUCUUCUGGGUUAAUACCUCGGGAGGA